rnacentral:snoRNA from 1 species
ACUUUCCAGCUACCUGACCCAUCAGAUCUCAAUGCUGGUCUGUGCGCUUAUCAAAGGCGGAAAAGUACAAUGAAACUGACUUCAAUUCUUUGGUGACACACAUGCUAGUUUCAAACAAAA